rnacentral:rRNA from 1 species
GGCUCAGGAUGAACGCGGCGGUAUGCUUAACACAUGCAAGUCGUACGCAAAUUGUUUCAAUUGAGUGGCGGACGGGUGAGUAACACGUGAGAAUUUGCUUUUAGGAGGGGAAUAACAAUUGGAAACGAUUCCUAAUGCCCCAUAUGCUGAAAAGUCAAAGGAGUAAUCCGCCUAAAAAAGAGCUCGCGUCUGAUUAGCUAGUUGGUAAGGUAAUGGCUUACCAAGGCGACGAUCAGUAGCUGGUUUGAGAGAACGAUCAGCCACACUGGAACUGAGACACGGUCCAGACUCCUACGGGAGGCAGCAGUGGGGAAUUUUCUGCAAUGGGCGAAAGCCUGACAGAGCAAUACCGCGUGAGGGAUGAAGGCUUGCGAGUUGUAAACCUCUUUUGUCAAGGAGGAAGUUCUGACGUGUACUUGACGAAUAAGCAUCGGCUAACUCCGUGCCAGCAGCCGCGGUAAGACGGAGGAUGCAAGUGUUAUCCUGAAUAACUGGGCGUAAAGCGUCUGUAGGUGGUUUAAAAAGUCUAUUGUUAAAGCUUGAAGCUUAACUUCAAAAAUGCAAUAGAAACUUUUAAACUUGAGUGUGGUAGGGGUAAAGGGAAUUUCCAGUGGAGCGGUGAAAUGCGUAGAUAUUGGAAAGACCACCAAUGGCGAAGGCACUUUACUGGGCCAUUACUGACACUGAGAGACGAAAGCUAGGGGAGCAAAUGGGAUUAGAUA